rnacentral:rRNA from 1 species
AGUCGAGAAUCUUUCACAAUGGGGGCAACCCUGAUGGAGCGACGCCGCGUGGAGGAUAAGGUCUUCGGAUUGUAAACUCCUGUCAUGUGUGAACAAGGUUGCAGGGCUAACACCUUUGCAAAUUGAUGGUAACACAAGAGGAAGAGACGGCUAACUCUGUGCCAGCAGCCGCGGUAAUACAGAGGUCUCAAGCGUUGUUCGGAAUCACUGGGCGUAAAGGGUGCGUAGGUGGCGUGGUAAGUCAGAUGUGAAAGCCCGGGGCUCAACCUCGGAAUUGCAUCCGAUACUGCCAUGCUCGAGUACUGAAGAGGUGACUAGAAUUCUAGGUGUAGCAGUGAAAUGCGUAGAUAUCUAGAGGAAUACCAAAGGCGAAGGCAGGUCACUGGGCAGUUACUGACACUGAGGCACGAAGGCCAGGGUAGCGAACGGGAUUAGAUACCCCGGUAGUCCUGGCAGUAAACGGUGCACGUUUGGUAUGGGCGCAAUCGACCGCGCCCGUGCCGGAGCUAACGCGUUAAACGUGCCGCCUGGGAAGUACGGUCGCAAGAUUAAAACUCAAAGAAAUUGACGGGGACCCGCACAAGCGGUGGAGUAUGUGGCUUAAUUCGAUGCAACGCGAAGAACCUUACCUGGUCUUGACAUGCAUUGUGUCUCCGCUGAAAGGCGGAUAGCGUAGCAAUACGCGCUUUGCACAGGUGCUGCAUGGCUGUCGUCAGCUCGUGUCGUGAGAUGUUGGGUUAAGUCCCGCAACGAGCGCAACCCCUGUGAUUUGUUGCCACCCGGUUUACCGGAGCACUCGAAUCAGACUGCCUAGAUCAACUAGGAGGAAGGUGGGGAUGACGUCAAGUCCGUAUGGCCCUUACGACCAGGGCUGCACACGUACUACAAUGCCCAGCACAAUGAGAUCCGAUACCGCGAGGUGGAGGAAAUCUAUAAAACUGGGCCCAGUUCAGAUUGGAGUCUGCAACUCGACUCCAUGAAGUCGGAAUCGCUAGUAAUGGCGCAUCAGCUACGGCGCCGUGAAUACGUUCCCGGGUCUUGUACACACCGCCCGUCACAUCAUGGGAGCUGGUUUCGCCCGAAGUGCAUGCGCCAACCGCAAGGAGGCAGUGCCCUAAGGCAAGACUGGUGACUGGGAUG